AUUUUCCUUCUGUGCUGCUAUAUUUUUUCUUUCCCAAUUUCCCACUUUUACUAACAACAAUAUGCCUAGAUUUGAGACGACGGAGGAUGUCGCGUUAAUUCGUGCUUAUUGUUUGGUUGUUAGUGAACCUCUUAUAGGAAUAUCACAAAAAGACGACAGCGUGUUCUGGGCCGGAAUAUUAGCAGAUUACAGAGCAGCAAUGGGGGACAACACAACCAGAAGUACUAAGUCGAUAUAACAGAGAACCUCCACCUUGAAAAAAGAUGUGAACAGAUACGUAGGUCAUGUGAGAUUUUUUUGUCGGCGAAUGUCUACUGUACCGUGAAGGUCAAGUUGCAUAUGAGGAAGGUGUUCAUGGAAAAAGAUGGAAACAUGCUACAGUUUUUGAAUUAUGAAGACGCAUUUUGGCGGAUAUUUGAUCCUGAGAUCUUUGAUCGUCCAGCCGAUAUUCCAACACAAGAUGGAGACGAAGAAUAAGACAGCAGCAGAUGCAAAAAUAGGUUUUGUGGGUAUACUUCUUUGCAAACCCUCACGAGACUCAACUCGUCCAGUAGGGUCACCUAAUGGUUGAAAGGCUUGUUACAUGGGCUAAGUAUAAUCGCCGGUCAUGCGACAAUGACAUAGAUUAAAUAUCCAGCGUAUUUGUUUUUUAGGUCCUUUGGUUCCGUAAUUGUAUCUGUGUGCGUAUGUCCGAGGAUGGUUUAAUUAAUAGAGAAGGACAUGGGUUUAAAUCCACCCAAAACAUAAGGCCUAUUUGAAGUUUUUUUGUUCCCUGAUAUUAUCAAUUUAAAAACUAAAGUCCCUUAAAAGAAAUUACACAUAUGUGAAGAAUGACUGCAAGGGAGGGAUGGCACAUGUGUGAAGAGUGACUUCAAGGAAGGGAUGACACAUCAUUUUUUUUCCUAUAAAUAGAGUCCCUGGUACCCAUAUGGAUUGCAUAACCCAACCGUGAACAUCUUAUUCAUCCAAUAUGAAUGUUAAAUUUACCUUUGAAGAAGAUACGACAAUCAUAGAUGCAUGGGUUACUGUAAUGACAGCUCCGGUUGUAUUUGAUGCUGAAGGACCCCCUAAUAACUUCUGAGAUCUGGUCUAUUCCCAUUUUCUAGAGAAAUUUCAUAAUCCAAACCAUAGAACAACACAAUCUUUAAGAAACAUGGUUGGAAGUAUAAAAAGAGAGGUCAAAACGUAUGUUAUCAUCCAAGCUACGCUAUUUAUAGACCUUCCACCGGCAUUCAUUACAGAGGAAACGUAUAUCGAAACAAUGACGAAAGCAUAUUUUCAUGAAAAGCAUGGACGCAAUUUCAGGUUUUAUGAAUGCUACCUCCUUAUGAAGGAAGCAAUCCAAGGAGGUUGUUUAGGCAUGGAUAGAAGAGUAAUUGUAGUGGAUUUAAUGGUUUUGUUGGUAAACCACUUGUAAAUCAUCUCGAGACACCACUCGGCCGGCAGGGACACUUUUUGGUUUAAAGGCUUGUUGCACGUGCUAAGUGCAUCCGCGGUGCCUGGGACAGUGAGUUAGGUUUAGUAGUCAAUAACUAAUCAGUAUACUGUCUUCACCCAUGCUUGGAAUUAAUUAAACUAGUAAUUACUUUUA